AAAAUUCAGCUAUGGAUGAGGAAUUUACUGAAAAUGAUAUAAGGGUAGCGCUGCAGAAUCUUAAUGGUCGAUCGGCAUCAGGGCCGGAUGGCAUCAUGAAUAAAAUGUUACAAAAUUUAGAUGAGGGGUCCAUUGAGUUCAUUACGC
rnacentral:lncRNA from 1 species